UACGUAGGGGGCAAGCGUUGUCCGGAAUCAUUGGGCGUAAAGAGCGCGUAGGCGGCCCUGUAAGUCCGCUGUGAAAGUCAAGGGCUCAACCCUUGAAUGCCGGUGGAUACUGCAGGGCUAGAGUCCGGAAGAGGCGAGUGGAAUUCCAGGUGUAGCGGUGAAAUGCGUAGAUAUCUGGAGGAAUACCGGUGGCGAAGGCGGCAUCCUGGACCGGCAUUGACGCUGAUGAGCGAAAGCUAGGGGAGCAAACGGG
rnacentral:rRNA from 1 species